rnacentral:rRNA from 1 species
AUACAUGCAGUCGAGCGAACAGAUGAGAAGCUUGCUUCUCUGAUGUUAGCGGCGGACGGGUGAGUAACACGUGGGUAACCUACCUAUAAGACUGGGAUAACUCCGGGAAACCGGGGCUAAUACCGGAUAAUAUUUUGAACCGCAUGGUUCAAUAGUGAAAGACGGUUUCGGCUGUCACUUAUAGAUGGACCCGCGCCGUAUUAGCUAGUUGGUAAGGUAAUGGCUUACCAAGGCGACGAUACGUAGCCGACCUGAGAGGGUGAUCGGCCACACUGGAACUGAGACACGGUCCAGACUCCUACGGGAGGCAGCAGUAGGGAAUCUUCCGCAAUGGGCGAAAGCCUGACGGAGCAACGCCGCGUGAGUGAUGAAGGUCUUCGGAUCGUAAAACUCUGUUGUUAGGGAAGAACAAAUUUGUUAGUAACUGAACAAGUCUUGACGGUACCUAACCAGAAAGCCACGGCUAACUACGUGCCAGCAGCCGCGGUAAUACGUAGGUGGCAAGCGUUAUCCGGAAUUAUUGGGCGUAAAGCGCGCGUAGGCGGUUUCUUAAGUCUGAUGUGAAAGCCCACGGCUCAACCGUGGAGGGUCAUUGGAAACUGGGAAACUUGAGUGCAGAAGAGGAGAGUGGAAUUCCAUGUGUAGCGGUGAAAUGCGCAGAGAUAUGGAGGAACACCAGUGGCGAAGGCGGCUCUCUGGUCUGUAACUGACGCUGAUGUGCGAAAGCGUGGGGAUCAAACAGGAUUAGAUACCCUGGUAGUCCACGCCGUAAACGAUGAGUGCUAAGUGUUAGGGGGUUUCCGCCCCUUAGUGCUGCAGCUAACGCAUUAAGCACUCCGCCUGGGGAGUACGACCGCAAGGUUGAAACUCAAAGGAAUUGACGGGGACCCGCACAAGCGGUGGAGCAUGUGGUUUAAUUCGAAGCAACGCGAAGAACCUUACCAAAUCUUGACAUCCUUUGACCGCUCUAGAGAUAGAGUCUUCCCCUUCGGGGGACAAAGUGACAGGUGGUGCAUGGUUGUCGUCAGCUCGUGUCGUGAGAUGUUGGGUUAAGUCCCGCAACGAGCGCAACCCUUAAGCUUAGUUGCCAUCAUUAAGUUGGGCACUCUAGGUUGACUGCCGGUGACAAACCGGAGGAAGGUGGGGAUGACGUCAAAUCAUCAUGCCCCUUAUGAUUUGGGCUACACACGUGCUACAAUGGAUAAUACAAAGGGCAGCGAAUCCGCGAGGCCAAGCAAAUCCCAUAAAAUUAUUCUCAGUUCGGAUUGUAGUCUGCAACUCGACUACAUGAAGCUGGAAUCGCUAGUAAUCGUAGAUCAGCAUGCUACGGUGAAUACGUUCCCGGGUCUUGUACACACCGCCCGUCACACCACGAGAGUUUGUAACACCCGAAGCCGGUGGAGUAACCUUUUAGGAGCUAGCCUUCGA